UACAGAGGUCCCAAGCGUUGUUCGGAUUCACUGGGCGUAAAGGGUGCGUAGGCGGUCGGGUAAGUCUGAUGUGAAAUCUCACAGCUUAACUGCGAAACUGCAUUGGAUACUAUCCGGCUUGAGGAAUGGAGGGGAGACUGGAAUACUUGGUGUAGCAGUGAAAUGCGUAGAUAUCAAGUGGAACACCAGUGGCGAAGGCGAGUCUCUGGACAUUUCCUGACGCUGAGGCACGAAAGCCAGGGGAGCAAACGGG
rnacentral:rRNA from 1 species